AUGGAACACUUGUUCCUGCAGUUUAGCAACCAAAGAAAAAAAUUGGAAAAAGGAAGAGACGAAGACAAUGCUAAAGCACGAGAGGAAGAGAGGCUAGCGAAUCUUAAAGCAAGAAACAGUGAGGAUUUUGCACAAUUUGGGUCCUUCAGAUUUGCAGAUGCUAAAGAAAUUUCUGGAGGCAAAGCCAGUCAGCGACAAACUAAAAGGAAGAAGAGCACCGCAGAAAAGCCUAUUAUUGAAGUAACUCGAGUUCUUAGGUCCCAAACGACUAGAGAUGUUGAUGACAUGCCAAGUGACAGCAUUGAAGAGCAUGAAGGUAUGUAG
rnacentral:rRNA from 1 species